rnacentral:rRNA from 1 species
GAUGAACGCUGGCGGCGUGCCUAAUACAUGCAAGUCGAGCGAACAGACAAGGAGCUUGCUCCUCUGACGUUAGCGGCGGACGGGUGAGUAACACGUGGAUAACCUACCUAUAAGACUGGGAUAACUUCGGGAAGCCGGAGCUAAUACCGGAUAAUAUAUUGAACCGCAUGGUUCAAUAGUGAAAGACGGUUUUGCUGUCACUUAUAGAUGGAUCCGCGCCGCAUUAGCUAGUUGGUAAGGUAACGGCUUACCAAGGCGACGAUGCGUAGCCGACCUGAGAGGGUGAUCGGCCACACUGGAACUGAGACACGGUCCAGACUCCUACGGGAGGCAGCAGCAGGGAAUCUUCCGCAAUGGGCGAAAGCCUGACGGAGCAACGCCGCGUGAGUGAUGAAGGUCUUCGGAUCGUAAAACUCUGUUAUUAGGGAAGAACAAAUGUGUAAGUAACUAUGCACGUCUUGACGGUACCUAAUCAGAAAGCCACGGCUAACUACGUG